UUAUAGCCCUGAUAGCAGCGGUAUCCUUUACGUGUCUCAUGUCGUCUCUUGAGACGAGAGGUGACGCGUAAAGAUACAAGCGAAUAGCAGGAAACAGC
rfam:Flavobacterium fryxellicola strain DSM 16209 FBFR08, whole genome shotgun sequence.